CUACGGGAGGCUCCAGUGGGGGAUAUUGCACAAUGGGCGAAAGCCUGAUGCAGCAACGCCGCGUGAAGGAAGACGGAUUUCGGUCUGUAAACUUCUAUCAGCUGGGAAGAUAAUGACGGUACCAGACUAAGAAGCCCCGGCUAACUACGUGCCAGCAGCCGCGGUAAUACGUAGGGGGCAAGCGUUAUCCGGGUUUACUGGGUGUAAGGGGUACGUAGGCGGUUUGUUAAGUCAGAUGUGAAAAUCCGGGGCUCAACCUCGGAACUGCAUUUGAAACUGGCAAACUAGAGUGCAGGAGAGGAAAGCGGAAUUCCUAGUGUAGCGGUGAAGUGCGUAGAUAUUAGGAAGAACACCAGUGGCGAAGGCGGCUUUCUGGACUGUAACUGACGCUGAGGUACGAAAGCGUGGGGAGCGAACAGGAUUAGAUACCCCCGUAGUC
rnacentral:rRNA from 1 species